GACGGAGGGUGCAAGCGUUGUUCGGAAUUACUGGGCGUAAAGCGCGGGCAGGUGGCCCUUUAAGUCCUUUGUGAAAUUCCGGAGCUCAACUCCGGAUGUGCAUAGGAUACUGGAAGGCUAGAGACUGGUAGAGGCGAGCGGAAUUCCUGGUGUAGCGGUGGAAUGCGUAGAUAUCAGGAAGAACACCGGUGGCGAAGGCAGCUCGCUGGAACGGUACUGACGCUGAGGUGCGAAAGCGUGGGGAGCAAACAGG
rnacentral:rRNA from 1 species